rnacentral:misc_RNA from 1 species
AAGUCGUAACAAGGUUUCCGUAGGUGAACCUGCGGAAGGAUCAUUAACACGUAUCCAAACGUUAAACAACCCCGUGGUCAAGGCGUCCCCAAGUGACCAGUGAAUGAAAGUGUCGCUGGAGCGUCAAGGACGACUCUUCAAGCGACCGGCUUCCGUGUAUACUGAGCAUAAAAUCGCUCCCUCGAACCCCACUUUAUUGCCUUGCCUGUAAGCAUCCAUACGGAUGGGCAGGCCCCCCGAACAACUGUUAACAAUGGAUAUCUUGGUUCUC